UCUUUGACAGGUUUAUCAAUGCUCGAAGAAGAAUCGUGCAGCCCAUGAUUGAUCAGUCUAACAGAGCAGUAACUCAAGGAACCGCUUACAGUCCUGAUGGUCAGCCUAUGGGCGGCUUUGUGCUUGAGGGCCAACAACACAUGGGUCUCCGGCCUAGCGGUCCCAUGGGAGGAAUGGGUAUGAACAUGGGUAUGGAUGGACAGUGGCACUACAUGUAAACGCCUCCCCGCUUCCCAAACCAUAAACGUAAGGAAACGCUUUGGUACUUUGGAACAUCCCCUCUCUUUCUCCUUUCCCUCGGCGUGUGAAAUCUGAUUAUGGUGGCAAUUCGCUCUCCGACGACCCCCCCUCACACACACACGCGCACGCACCUUCUUUCCCCGGCUCCAUCUUCGCUGCCUGUCUCUGACAGUCCACAAAUCAAGACGUAUCGCCCGCCGCGGGCGGCCUG